AACGUAGACGAAAGUUUACGCUAAUACCGCAUACGAUCUACGGAUGAAAGCGGGGAUCGCAAGACCUCGCGCGAAUGGAGCGGCGAUAUCAGAUUAGGUAGUUGGUGGGGUAAAGGCUCACCAAGCCAACGAUCUGUAGCUGGUCUGAGAGGACGACCAGCCACACUGGAACUGAGACACGGUCCAGACUCCUACGGGAGGCAGCAGUGGGGAAUUUUGGACAAUGGGCGCAAGCCUGAUCCAGCCAUUCCGCGUGCAGGAUGAAGGCCUUCGGGUUGUAAACUGCUUUUGUACGGAACGAAACGGUCUGCCCUAAUACGGCAGGCUAAUGACGGUACCGUAAGAAUAAGCACCGGCUAACUACGUG
rnacentral:rRNA from 1 species